GAAACCUGUCUGCCAUGGGUUACCCUGAUGAUAUUUGAAAUCCUGGUGGCAUAGCUUUCAGCAUCACAGGAAUACAUGGCCUCCAAGGUAACAUUUUGCUCACACGUGCUGUGAUCAACUUUGUGCUUCUCAGACUUCCAUGAUGACUGCCCUUCUUCUCAGUCUUUUGUCUGCUUACCAGCCAGACCCUCAGAAAGAGGAAAAACUACCUCUGUGUAUCUUCUGCCAAGACAUGGAGUUUCAUAUGCGGCAGCUGGCUGAAGGCAAGUUCCUGAGCAAAUGAUUUAUGAUUGGAUUUACUCUCCUAUAGACUCCACCACGAGUUCAAGGGUUCUGUUCCAUUUGAGAUUACAAACGCCUGAAAGCGAUCACAAGUGCCAUGUCCGAACCCUGGAUCCGAACCGGCAAACCCCUGCCGCUGAGAAGCGGAACGUGCAAAC
rnacentral:lncRNA from 1 species